rnacentral:rRNA from 1 species
AUUGAACGCUGGCGGCAUGCUUACACAUGCAAGUCGAACGGCAGCACGGGUGCUUGCACCUGGUGGCGAGUGGCGAACGGGUGAGUAAUACAUCGGAACGUACCUUAUCGUGGGGGAUAACGCAGCGAAAGCUGUGCUAAUACCGCAUACGCCCUGAGGGGGAAAGCGGGGGAUCGCAAGACCUCGCGCGAUUAGAGCGGCCGAUGCCGGAUUAGCUUGUUGGCGGGGUAAAAGCCCACCAAGGAGACGAUCAGUAGCUGGUCUGAGAGGGCGCGCAGCCACACUGGGACUGAGACACGGCCCAGACUCCUACGGGAGGCAGCAGUGGGGAAUUUUGGACAAUGGGGGCAACCCUGAUCCAGCAAUGCCACGUGAGUGAAGAAGGCCUUCGGGUUGUAAAGCUCUUUUGUCAGGGAAGAAACACCGGCUCUAACACAGUCCGGGAAUGACGGUACCUGAAGAAUAAGCACCGGCUAACUACGUGCCAGCCGCCGCCGUAA